rnacentral:rRNA from 1 species
AGUGAACGCUGGCGGUAGGCCUAACACAUGCAAGUCGAACGGCAGCACAGUAAGAGCUUGCUCUUACGGGUGGCGAGUGGCGGACGGGUGAGGAAUACAUCGGAAUCUACUUUUUCGUGGGGGAUAACGUAGGGAAACUUACGCUAAUACCGCAUACGACCUACGGGUGAAAGCAGGGGAUCUUCGGACCUUGCGCGAUUGAAUGAGCCGAUGUCGGAUUAGCUAGUUGGCGGGGUAAAGGCCCACCAAGGCGACGAUCCGUAGCUGGUCUGAGAGGAUGAUCAGCGACACUGGAACUGAGACAGGGUCCAGACUCCUGCGAGAGGCAGCAGUGGGGAAUGUUAGGCAAUGGGCGCAAGCCUGAUCCAGCCAUACCGCGUGGGUGAAGGAGGCGUUCGGGUUGUAAAGCCCUUUUGUUGGGAAAGAAAAGCAGCAGGUUAAUACCCCGCUGUUCUGACGGUACCCAAAGAAUAAGCACCGGCUAACUUCGUG